rnacentral:rRNA from 1 species
CCUACGGGAGGCAGCAGUAGGGAAUCUUUCACAAUGGGCGAAAGCCUGAUGGAGCAACGCCGCGUGCAGGAUGAAGGCCUUCGGGUUGUAAACUGCUUUUAUCAGCGAGAAAUAUGAUGGUAACUUAUGAAUAAGGAUCGGCUAACUACGUUCCAGCAGCCGCGGGCAUACGUAGGAUCCGGGCAUUAUCCCGAGUGACUGGGUGUAAAGAGUUGCGUAGGUGGCAGACUAAGUAGCUAGUGAAAUCUGGUGGCUCAACCAUUCAGACUAUUCGCUAAACUGUUAAGCUCGAGACCGUUAGGGGUAGCGGGAAUUUCUAGUGUAGGAGUGAAAUCCGUAGAUAUUAGAAGGAACACCAGUAGCGUAGGCAGGUUGCUGGGACGGUUCUGACACUAAGGCACGAAAGCGUAGGGAGCAAACGGGAUUAGAUACCCGGGUAGUC